GACGAACGCUGGCGGCGUGCUUAACACAUGCAAGUCGAACGAUGAAGCCGGAGCUUGCUCUGGUGAAUUAGUGGCGAACGGGUGAGUAACACGUGAGUAACCUGCCCUCGACUCUGGGAUAACUGCUAGAAAUGGUAGCUAAUACCGGAUACGACCCUCGGAGGCAUCUCCAGGGGGUGGAAAGAAUUUCGGUCAAGGAUGGACUCGCGGCCUAUCAGCUAGUUGGUGAGGUAACGGCUCACCAAGGCGACGACGGGUAGCCGGCCUGAGAGGGUGACCUGCCACACUGGGACUGAGACACGGCCCAGACUCCUACGGGAGGCAGCAGUGGGGAAUAUUGCACAAUGGGCGCAAGCCUGAUGCAGCAACGCCGCGUGAGGGAUGACGGCCUUCGGGUUGUAAACCUCUUUUAGUAGGGAAGAAGCGAAAGUGACGGUAUCUGCAGAAAAAGCACCGGCUAACUACGUGCCAGCCGCCGCCGUAA
rnacentral:rRNA from 1 species